CGACGGUUGAAGCGCCCUCACGCCGCCGCCAGGCUCGAGCGAAAAGCACGCGGAGGGACCGGGGCCGACGUGCUGAUGCAGGAAAUCAACCCCAGAAUGAGACGAACUUGCCCAUCUCAUCCUUGGAAUCAUCCAGGCGACUAAACUUUGUGCCAACAUGAAAAACUAUCUUCAAUCCUGUCUCUCCACACUGGGAACAAUAGCGCAUAAUUGAAUAAUAUAAGACAGCAAUUGCAUGAAGUCCAUUUCCUUGCCAACGCACAGCACGAUUAUUGCCUCCUGAAGUGUGUCCCAACAGAUAUGAAUCCACACCCUUGGGGUAAAAAAAUAUAUAUUUAUCCGCAUCAAUUUGAAAGCUACCAGAAGCUGCUCGGGACCCCGCAAAGUGCCACAAUUCACAAAAGGAUGGGAGAAGAAGGUGGAUAAAAUUAGUUUAUCAUGGCACCGUGUUCAACACAGACAUUGUGUGCUGAAAUAGUAAGAAAUUGACUUGUUAUAGCUUCAUCAGGUUAAUUCAUUAAAUAAAUAAAAACCGGCGUAAAUAAUGGAAAGAAUUAUCAUUAAAAUGUAAAAAUAAUUGCAGUUAUGAAUUAUGAUUUUCCAAUAUUAAGUGUGAUCGCCUUUGCCUGAAAGGAUUAGAGCAGUGUCGUUGAGGGCUUCCUAAAUCAGUGAAUAGAAAGUCUGAUGAGAGAACGGGGCAAUUCUUUGGGAAUAUAGCUGGGGAAGUAUUAGUGGAGCACCAUUAUGACAGUGACCAUAAAUUAGGGCCUCUGAUUGAAAUGUUUAAAUGUUUUCUGACCACGGGGGAAAUGCCAAAUUGCAGGGAUUGGCCAGUGAGUUGAACAUCAGUGGCAGGAAAACUGUGGGGAAAAGUUCUGAGGGACAGGAUUAAUCUGAUUUGGAGAGACAGGGAUUAACAAAAGAGAAUCAGCAUGGCUUUGCUAAUGGGAGGUCCUGUUUGACUAGUUUGAUUGAUUUUUUGAAAGAGAGACUUACGUGUGUCAAUGAGGGUGGCGUGGGAGACUGAUCCUAGAGAUAAGAGACCAUGGGAUUCAGCAAAUUUAUCAAAUUAGAUCUGAAAUUGCCUUGGUGACAGGAAGCAGAGGGCAAUGUCGCAGGGGGAUCGGAGGUCUGUCGU